rnacentral:tRNA from 1 species
ACACUGAUGGUUCAGUGGUAGAAUUCUCACCUUCCACGAGGGAGACCUGGGUUCAAUUCCCAGCCAACGCA